rnacentral:rRNA from 1 species
CGUAGGGCGCAAGCGUUAUCCGGAAUUAUUGGGCGUAAAGAGCUCGUAGGCGGUUUGUCGCGUCUGCCGUGAAAGUCCGGGGCUUAACUCCGGAUCUGCGGUGGGUACGGGCAGACUAGGGUGCAGUAGGGGAGACUGGAAUUCCUGGUGUAGCGGUGAAAUGCGCAGAUAUCAGGAGGAACACCGAUGGCGAAGGCAGGUCUCUGGGCUGUAACUGACGCUGAGGAGCGAAAGCAUGGGGGAGCGAACAGGAUU